rnacentral:rRNA from 1 species
AUACGGAGGAUCCGAGCGUUAUCCGGAUUUAUUGGGUUUAAAGGGAGCGUAGGCGGACGCUUAAGUCAGUUGUGAAAGUUUGCGGCUCAACCGUAAAAUUGCAGUUGAUACUGGGUGUCUUGAGUACAGUAGAGGCAGGCGGAAUUCGUGGUGUAGCGGUGAAAUGCUUAGAUAUCACGAAGAACUCCGAUUGCGAAGGCAGCCUGCUGGACUGUAACUGACGCUGAUGCUCGAAAGUGUGGGUAUCAAACAGGAUUAGAUACCCUGGUAGUCCACACAGUAAACGAUGAAUACUCGCUGUUUGCGAUAUACAGUAAGCGGCCAAGCGAAAGCGUUAAGUAUUCCACCUGGGGAGUACGCAGGCAACGGUGAAACUCAAAUGAAUUGGCGGG